GUGCUCUCUUUGGAAGCAUGUUAUACUCAGAUUGGAAUAAUACAGAGAUUAGUAUGGUCCCUGUGCAAGGAUGACAUACAAAUUCAUGGAUCAUUCCAUAUUUUU